AUCCAGAUGACGAAUCCUAAAUAAGACGUAAUCCUCAUCCUGGAU
rnacentral:hammerhead_ribozyme from 1 species